UCCAGACUCCUACGGGAGGCAGCAGUGGGGAAUAUUGCACAAUGGGGGAAACCCUGAUGCAGCGACGCCGCGUGAGUGAAGAAGUAUUUCGGUAUGUAAAGCUCUAUCAGCAGGGAAGAAAUACUGACCUUACGGUCAGCAGACGGUACCUGACUAAGAAGCCCCGGCUAACUACGUGCCAGCAGCCGCGGUAAUACGUAGGGGGCAAGCGUUAUCCGGAAUUACUGGGUGUAAAGGGAGCGUAGACGGUAAUGUAAGUCUGGAGUGAAAGGCGGGGGCCCAACCCCCGGACUGCUCUGGAAACUAUGUUACUGGAGUGCAGGAGAGGUAAGCGGAAUUCCUAGUGUAGCGGUGAAAUGCGUAGAUAUUAGGAGGAACACCAGUGGCGAAGGCGGCUUACUGGACUGUAACUGACGUUGAGGCUCGAAAGCGUGGGGAGCAAACAGGAUUAGAUACCCCAGUA
rnacentral:rRNA from 1 species